AACAAAUAAGGAAAUUGAGAAUAGAGAUAGAAGUUGAAGAGGCCGAAGCUAGCAAUUUCCGGCCUGGCCUGAAGAUCCAAUCUCUAAGUGAAGCUUUGUGGCGAGAGCAAUACUUAGAAGCAAGUUUGAGAAUUAUCAGAGAGAAAAAAGCAGAGAUGAUGAGGAGGAGCACAAAUUCAUUCUCAUACAGUCAAACAAGCU